AUUGAACGCUGGCGGCAGGCCUCACACAUGCAAGUCGAACGAGUGGCGGACGGGUGAGUAAUGUCUGGGAAACUGCCUGAUGGAGGGGGAUACAUACUGGAAACGGUAGCUAAUACCGCAUACCAUCGGAUGUGCCCAGAUGGGAUUAGCUAGUAGGUGGGGUAAAGGCUCACCUAGGCAACGAUCCCUAGCUGGUCUGAGAGGAUGACCAGCCAAACUGGAACUGAGACACGGUCCAGACUCCUACGGGAGGCAGCAGUGGGGAAUAUUGCACAAUGGGCGCAAGCCUGAUGCAGCCAUGCCGCGUGUAUGAAGAAGGCCUUCGGGUUGUAAAGUACGUUCAGCGGGGAGGCGUUACCCUCAGAAGAAGCACCGGCUAACCACGUGCCAGCCGCCGCGGUAAUAC
rnacentral:rRNA from 1 species